GAAAGUAAGCAAGGGCAGACGGUGGAUGCCUUGGCUCUCGGAGGCGACGAAGGACGUGAUAAGCUGCGAAAAGCCCGGGGGAGGCGCAAAUAGCCCUUGAUCCCGGGAUAUCCGAAUGGGGCAACCCGGCAGGCUGAAGGCCUGUCAUCCCGUAAGGGAGGCGAACGUGGGGAACUGAAACAUCUAAGUACCCAUAGGAGGAGAAAAUAAACAAUGAUUCCGUAAGUAGUGGCGAGCGAACACGGAAGAGCCCAAACCCAUGUCGUCUAGGCGACACGGGGGUUGUAGGACCACGACGUGGCAAGAUAGAGUCAAGUGGAACGCCUUGGAAAAGGCGGUCAUAGAGGGUGAAAACCCCGUACACGACUGACGAUUGAAGCCUAGUGGCAUCCUGAGUAGCGCGGGGCACGAGAAAUCUUGCGUGAAUUAGCGGGGCCCAUCCCGUAAGGCUAAAUACUCCCGAGAGACCGAUAGCGAACCAGUACCGUGAGGGAAAGGUGAAAAGAACCCCGAGCAGGGGAGUGAAAUAGACCCUGAACCCGUCUGCCUACAAGCGGUCGGAGCGUCGUAAUGACGUGACGGCGUGCCUUUUGCAUAAUGAACCUACGAGUUACCUUCCCCGGCAAGGUUAAGUACCUAAGGUACGGAGCCGAAGCGAAAGCGAGUCUGAACAGGGCGCCAAGUCGGGGGGGGUAGACGCGAAACCGAGUGAUCUACCCUUGGCCAGGUUGAAGGUUGGGUAACACCAACUGGAGGACCGGAUGGGUAAGCGUUGAAAAGCUUUCCAAUGAGCUGAGGGUAGGGGUGAAAGGCUAAUCAAACUCGGAGAUAGCUCGUACUCCCCGAAAUGCAUUUAGGUGCAGCCUCUUUAUAGUAUAUCGUGAGGUAGAGCGACUGAUUGGAUGCGAGGGCUUCACCGCCUAUCAAGUCCAGAUAAACUCCGAAUGCGCGAUAUAUAUUUAAAGGGAGUGAGGGCGCGGGUGCUAAGGUCCGUGUCCGAGAGGAGAAGAAUCCAGACCACCGGCUAAGGCCCCCAAAUGAUCGUUAAGUUGAACUAACGAGGUCGGAUCGCAGAGACAGCUAGGAUGUUGGCUUGGAAGCAGCCAUUCAUUUAAAGAGUGCGUAACAGCUCACUAGUCGAGCGAUCUGGCGUGGAUAAUAAUCGGGCAUAAACGAUCUGCCGAAGCCGUGGAUGUCGCAAGACAUGGUAGGGGAGCAUUCCAUGCCGCGUCGAAGAUGAGGGAUGACCCUUGUUGGAGCGCAUGGAAAAGCAAAUGUAGGUAUGAGUAACGAUAAGGGGGGCGAGAAACCCCCCCGCCGAAAGACCAAGGUUUCCUGAUCAACGCUAAUCGGAUCAGGGUGAGUCGGGACCUAAGGCAAAGCCGAACGGCGCCGCCGAUGGAAGAAUGGGUUAAUAUUCCCAUACUGCCUCAUGGAGUGACGUGGAGACGGAGAAGUGACAGUCCUGCCGGCUGACGGAAUAGCCGGUUGAAGGGUGUAGAUAUUGAUUCCCGUAGGCAAAUCCGCGGGGAGAGUCGAACCUGAGAGUAUACGGAGCGCUUGCGCAACGUAAUAUGGACGUAACCAUGCUCCCGAGAAAAUCCGCUAAACUUAUCCAUGCGGCACCCGUACCGUAAACGGACACACGUGGUCGGGUUGAGAAUACUGAGGCGCUCGAGUGAUUCACGGUUAAGGAACUAGGCAAAUUGACCCUGUAACUUCGGGAUAAAGGGUCCUCGUCGUAAGGCGAGGCGCAGAGAAUAGGUCCAGGCAACUGUUUAACAAAAACACAUGGCUGUGCUAAAUGGAAACAUGAUGUAUACAGCCUGACACCUGCCCGGUGCCGGAAGGUUAAGAGGAGAUGUCAUCCGCGAGGAGAAGCGUUGAAUUGAAGCCCCGGUAAACGGCGGCCGUAACUAUAACGGUCCUAAGGUAGCGAAAUUCCUUGUCGGGUAAGUUCCGACCUG
rnacentral:rRNA from 1 species